rnacentral:rRNA from 1 species
AACGAACGCUGGCGGCAUGCCUAACACAUGCAAGUCGAACGAGACCUUCCGGUCUUGUGGCGCACGGGUGCGUAACGCGUGGGAACCUGCCCUUAGGUUCGGAAUAACUCCCCGAAAGGGGUGCUAAUACCGGAUAAGGUCUUCGGACCAAAGAUUUAUUGCCUUUGGAUGGGCCCGCGUUGGAUUAGCUAGUUGGUAGGGUAAAAGCAUACCAAGGCGAUGAUCCAUAGCUGGUCUGUGAGGAUGAUCAGCCACACUGGGACUGAGACACGGCCCAGACUCGUACGGGAGGCAGCAGUGGGGAAUAUUGGACAAUGGGCGAAAGCCUGAUCCAGCAAUGCCGCGUGAGUGAUGAAGGCCUUAGGGUUGUAAAGCUCUUUUACCCGGGAUGAUAAUGACAGUACCGGGAGAAUAAGCUCCGGCUAACUCCGUG